AUCGUAAGAUUACAAUCUAUCUCGAGAGAUUGUAAACUGUCGAAUUAUUGUAAACCGUAACAUCUGAUUGCAAUUUAACGCAUUAUUUUUCGCUAUAUUAUAAUCUAUCGAUGAGAAAUUGUCAAAUUGUCAACUGUCCGAAAGCUCUCCCUGAUUGGUCAGUCUUUUUGUAAGAUCGAGAGCGAUGUAGAGCGGUCAAAUUGUCAACUGGCGUAGAACGGAAUGCAUCUUGCGCGCUGAUUGGUAGAACGUCAAAAAAGACAAUGUUCUUUGCAACUCCCGGUGUCACAGCUCUUUGACGUGCAAAAAUAAGUGACGGUUUAAUUUUUUAUAAAAUCACAACACACAAUUAAAAAUUGAAGUUAGUGACGAAAACGAAUCGCUGCAAAACCGACUCCACGUAGUCUUGUCUGCCCUACCCCUAGAGUGCAAUUCAAAACCGCGUAGGCGCGGAGGGGCGAGGCGGCCUGCGAGCUGAGGCGCAGGUAGUUUCAGCGCUCGCCGCCGCGGCUGAGGCUGGCCGGCGGAGCCGGCCAGCAAGCCGAAGCUGCGGUGGUGAGCGUGAAAACCAUCUGCGACGAUAAGCUCGCAUGGGACCGCCGGAGCCCCGCAGCGCCGGAGCCGUGACAGAAGUUAUGCUUGCUGCAUGUUGCAUGCUUACUUCCAUGCUGGAGUUAUUUUUAUAUAAAUUUAAUACUUGAAGAAUUUUUGAAGAGCAUUUAUUUUAUUUAACUGACACCUCUAUUUCAUUCCUAACUCUACGGGAACUCCAUGGGAACAGAACGGCUGGUCGUGAUUGGUCGAUCUUACAAAAAGACUGACCAAUCAGAGAGAGCUUUCGGACAGUUGACAAUUUGACAAUUUCUCAUCGAUAGAUUAUAAUAUAGCGAAAAAUAAUGCGUUAAAUUGCAAUCAGAUGUUACGGUUCACAAUAAUUCGACAGUUUACAAUCUCUCGAGAUAGAUUGUAAUCUAACGAUGUUUGUAAUCUUACGGUAACACAUACAU
rnacentral:lncRNA from 1 species